GUCUGCUUAGCUAAAUAGUAGAGUACUCAGCUGAUAUCUGAGAGGUGCAGAUUCAAGUCCUGUGACUGUCU
rnacentral:tRNA from 1 species